GUGCUUUCUCUCUUUUUUUUCGAGUACCGCGCAUUCAUCAUUAAAUGAACGCCAUGGAAAGAGAGACAACGGUGAUAUAAGAGCAAUAGAGAAAAAAAUCCGGGACGAUAUAUCACACGAAGAAGCAAUCGCAUUAGUGAGUACUUUAGUGAGUGCCACAAAACAGAGACAACGAUGAAAUAAGAAUGGAGACGAAAAUUCGAGGCGGCAUAUUCAGGCGAUGGAAGAGCAACUUUAAGUUCAAUGCUGCAUACUACGCUAUAUAACCCCGCUGCUGCGUAUCGCCCGUGCAUCGAUUUGUUACUAAAAACUGAGAGGAGGAGGAGGCCUGGGAAAGGCAUCGGGCGUCAAACGGAGCAACUCUGAAAUUACCAUAGCAGUCAACUCCUCUGUUUUACAACGAAUGAUAAGUGAUAAAUUAUUAUUUAUUGCGAGGUAACGGUUUUGUAGAGAUUCAUUUGUGUAGAUGUAGAUUUAGAUUGUAGAAUGUAGAUUGUAGAUAGUUUCGUUACCUCGAAUAAAUGAAUGGAUUAUA